CCUACGGGAGGCAGCAGUGGGGAAUAUUGGACAAUGGGGGCAACCCUGAUCCAGCCAUGCCGCGUGUGUGAAGAAGGCCCUCGGGUUGUAAAGCACUUUCAGUGAGGAAGAACGCCUGGUGGUUAAUACCCAUCAGGAAAGACAUCACUCACAGAAGAAGCACCGGCUAACUCCGUGCCAGCAGCCGCGGUAAUACGGAGGGUGCGAGCGUUAAUCGGAAUUACUGGGCGUAAAGCGCGCGUAGGUGGCUUGAUAAGCCGGUUGUGAAAGACCCGGGCUCAACCUGGGAACGGCAUCCGGAACUGUCAAGCUAGAGUGCAGGAGAGGAAGGUAGAAUUCCCGGUGUAGCGGUGAAAUGCGUAGAGAUCGGGAGGAAUACCAGUGGCGAAGGCGGCCUUCUGGACUGACACUGACACUGAGGUGCGAAAGCGUGGGUAGCAAACAGGAUUAGAUACCCUUGUAGUC
rnacentral:rRNA from 1 species